rnacentral:rRNA from 1 species
CUCGAUGUCUAGUAUAAGCAUUAUACCGCGAAACUGCGAAUGGCUCAUUAUAUAAGUUAUCGUUUAUUUGAUAAUACUUUACUACUUGGAUAACCGUGGUAAUUCUAGAGCUAAUACAUGCUGAAAAUCCCGACUUCGGAAGGGAUGUAUUUAUUAGAUUAAAAACCAAUGCCCCUCGGGGCUCUCUGGUGAAUCAUGAUAACUAGUCGAAUCGACAGGCCUUGUGCCGGCGAUGGCUCAUUCAAAUUUCUUCCCUAUCAACUUUCGAUGUUUGGGUAUUGGCCAAACAUGGUGGCAACGGGUAACGGAGGGUUAGGGCUCGACCCCGGAGAAGGAGCCUGAGAAACGGCUACUACAUCCAAGGAAGGCAGCAGGCGCGCAAAUUACCCAAUCCCGACACGGGGAGGUAGUGACAAUAAAUACUGAUACAGGGCUCUUUUGGGUCUUGUAAUCGGAAUGAGUACAAUUUAAAUCCCUUAACGAGGAACAAUUGGAGGGCAAGUCUGGUGCCAGCAGCCGCGGUAAUUCCAGCUCCAAUAGCGUAUAUUAAAGUUGUUGUGGUUAAAAAGCUCGUAGUUGAACCUUGGGCCUGGCUGGCCGGUCCGCCUCACCGCGUGCACUGGUCCGGCCGGGCCUUUCCCUCUGCGGAACCCCAUGCCCUUCACUGGGUGUGGCGGGGAAACAGGACUUUUACUUUGAAAAAAUUAGAGUGCUCAAGGCAGGCCUAUGCUCGAAUACAUUAGCAUGGAAUAAUAGAAUAGGACGUGUGGUUCUAUUUUGUUGGUUUCUAGGACCGCCGUAAUGAUUAAUAGGGACAGUCGGGGGCAUCAGUAUUCAAUUGUCAGAGGUGAAAUUCUUGGAUUUAUUGAAGACUAACUACUGCGAAAGCAUUUGCCAAGGAUGUUUUCAUUAAUCAGGAACGAAAGUUAGGGGAUCGAAGACGAUCAGAUACCGUCGUAGUCUUAACCAUAAACUAUGCCGACUAGGGAUCGGACGAUGUUACAUUUUUGACGCGUUCGGCACCUUACGAGAAAUCAAAGUGCUGGGCUCCAGGGGAGUAGUGCAGCUUCC